rnacentral:lncRNA from 1 species
GUGGCUCAGAUUUUUCCGGGCGACCGCUUUUCGCAUAUCCAUCAUCUGCUUCUAACUUGGCCUCCAGCAAACCCUUGACUUGGGAUCUACCUUGUUGCUCAUUAACUAGAAGGAAUGCAGAGGGGGCUUUUAGGUGCUUUCAAGAACUUCGCUAUUGUAUCAGAGCUGAUUUAUGGUCCUGCUUUUACAGCUCCAACUUGGUUCAGUUUCCCCAAAGAAGCGGAGGUCACUCCCUGCACACCGAUCACUCACGGAUCCCCAGUGAGGCACAAAGGAAGGGGAAACUCGGUCCCCAUGAGGGCCGUGGCUUCUCCUCCCCGCUCAAGAGUCCUGGAUAAACCUGGCAAACUGGGGUUCUGCAGAGGCCAUUGCCCCAGAAGAGCCUUUUCCCUUUGUGCAUUUCUUUACCUGGGCUGUGGACAGUCUGUGCAAAUGCACGGUCUCCACUUGGGUGCAUUGCUAAAAGAGUUUAGGGAGACACCAUGCGUGACCACACAGAAACUCACACGCUCAGGCAAUUGCAUAAUACUGAGUGGGCCAAAAAGUUUGCUCGGGUUUAUCCGACUGGUACAUCCAAGACAACGAACAGCACAGCAUCCAUCUCAGCCUUGGACCCUGAAGGAAAAGCGAUCCCACACGCAGGACCAAUUCUGCCGCAACCAGCCCUCCCCCGCCCCUCCAUCCUACGGUGGCAGACCAGAGCCAGCGCUGCUUAUUACAGCCUUUACCUCCAGGUGUCACUGCAGAAGAGGAGUAGGAGUAGGAUUAACGAGAACAACAGAAGUUGAGGUGUUGUGCUUGAUGGUGAGGCUCACAAAACAGCCUGGAGAAUGGAUCGAGGACUCCUUCUUUAACGAGUUUGUGUCUUGUCUCAUAAAGCAUUCAGGAAGACUUCUGCUUCUCUUUGUUCUACAGGUAAGACAGUGCAGUGGAAAGGCCCAAAUCUGGAAACUGCACUGCCGAAGGGCUGGUUCUCUUUUGGAAAAUAACAUACAUUUGAGUGACUUCUAA